rnacentral:rRNA from 1 species
UACAGAGGGUGCAAGCGUUAAUCGGAUUUACUGGGCGUAAAGGGCGCGUAGGUGGUUGCGUAAGUGAGUUGUGAAAUCCCCGGGCUUAACCUGGGAACUGCAACUUAUACUGCGUAGCUGGAGUGCAAUAGAGGGUAGUAGAAUUUCCGGUGUAGCGGUGAAAUGCGUAGAUAUCGGAAGGAACACCAGUGGCGAAGGCGGCUACCUGGAUUGACACUGACACUGAGGCGCGAGAGCGUGGGGAGCAAACAGG